rnacentral:rRNA from 1 species
AGGGGGCUAGCGUUGCUCGGAAUCACUGGGCGUAAAGGGUGCGUAGGCGGAUCUUUAAGUCUGGGGUGAAAUCCCGAGGCUCAACCUCGGAACUGCCUUUGAUACUGGGGAUCUCGAGUCCGGGAGAGGUGAGUGGAACUGCGAGUGUAGAGGUGAAAUUCGUAGAUAUUCGCAAGAACACCAGUGGCGAAGGCGGCUCACUGGCCCGGAACUGACGCUGAGGUGCGAAAGCGUGGGGAGCAAACAGG